rnacentral:lncRNA from 1 species
UAUAUAUAUUAUAUUUUGAAGUGUUACAAGAUUAUAGAGCAACUUGGUUGGAUGUAAUUAAAAAUAUAGGGUGGUUGAAGAUGCAUGCAGUUAGAAAUAAAAAAGUUACAAACUAUAGGUAUCUUGUUUAGUUGGAUAUAGUAGAAAGCAUUAUAACUAUAAAUAAAUUAUUUGGUUGUAUGCAGUUGAAAACUAUACUUUUAAAUUUUUAUUAUUUUAUAUCUAUGAGGGUGAG